CAUGGUUGCUCGGCACCUCGAGGGCAAUAUUGUCUUUCCAUUUAACUUUAUUUUGGCUUCACUUGGAUUAUAUCGACUCUUCUUUGGCUUCUCUCAUCUCACUCUUCUUGUUCUUAUCGGUACCAGGCAGACAGGUCUUUCAGAAAUCUGGCAGAUGGAGGUUCACUGAUCAAAAGGUUAACACCCGAGUUAUAUCAGAAAAGCUCCACCGUCUGCAAAUUUCCGUUUUCACCUUCUCUCUCCUCACUUUUCCUGUUCUUAUCUCUACACUUUUGGUGAAUUUUCCAGUCCGGAUCUUUGUUUUCCUGAACAACCUUGAAUUACUAUCUUGAUGUCAAAAUUGACGAAGCGGUGAUUUUUUCCGGGGUUGGAUGCGUCUUGAUUUGUUUUAUAGGAUCUGCUCACUGAUAACAAAGCAAAGUUUGAUUGUUAUUCAAAUGACUGAGAAGAUAGCAUGAGGAUUUAUCUCUUCCUGUACUUUUAUGACGUGGGCAAUCCAAAAAUCUAGAGGAGAAAGUGUUUCUUGGACUACUCCCAGAUAAAAGCUUAUUUCGGUUUAUCAGGCGGGUAAACGACCAAUUUCGUAGCUUUGUUAUCUAUGUCGUUAUUAUUUUUGAUUCAGAUAUCAGUUGGAUUCCACACGAUUGAAAUCAGAUAAAAGGAAUUGAAACAUUCUUUUCCUUUUCCUUGCACUAAACUUUUGCUGCUUUCGUUAUACCAUAUUGGUAUAGCAUUCUUUUUCCCCGCAGCAUUCUUUUGCUGCAACUGCUCAAGCAAAGAAUUCUUUGCUUGCAUUCUCUGUGUUAUUUUCUGUCAGUAUAAUCAAAUUACUAUACUGUCAGGCUUAUAUCUGCCUGUUGUUAUUGUAUUCAGGUUAUACAUAUACGCUAUGCCACUGGGAAAUGGGGAUAAUUAAGCACCAGAGAGUAUUUUAGACAGGAUGUGUUCCUUGAGUCUCUACUUUUGGGUUUAUGUAGUUCAUAAUAAUUAUUCCACAAUUUGUGCAGUUUUAUUCAAAUGAAUAGUAGGUGGUAGGGUAACCUCUUACGUGGAAGGUCUAGGUAUAUAUUCAAAUCAAAUAACUAGGAAAAUAGUAGUCAGGUACGACGGUUCUCUUAAACACACAUUUCUAAGCACAUAUUAUACUUAUAGCAAAUAUUUUUGGUUAGGAAGUUAGACUUUGUUUGUCACAUGUAUUGAUUGGUUAAACAUAUUACUGGAUUACUGACUGUAAAAUACAGCAGCUUGAGGAGACAUAUAUAAAGGUUAACAGUUCAGAAAACAGAAACCAGUUAAAUAAAUCUAUUGCAGAAUAUAUUUAGCUUAAAGGCUGAGGGUUCUAUCUUAAAACAGAAGGGAAGAGUGAAAUGGUUAGAAGAUGGAAACUCUAGCUUAGCUUUUGUUUAAAAUGUCAUACGGGAUGGGAGCAGGAAACCAAACAUUCAUAAUAUCAAGAGCGAGCAAUAUAGUUGAUCAGAAGAUGAAGGGAAAUUGCAGAAGUAGCUGUAACUUUCUACCAUCAGCUAUUUUCACAAGAACUGGGGAGAAGAAGAUUCGAUAAGAACUAGGGAGAAGAAGAUUCGACUACCCAUAUUUCGUAUUUAUGGACAGUAUCCAUUAACAGUUGCUGAUCGAUCUCUGAAAUUUUUAUUCUCUACACCAAAGAAAAGUAUGUUAUCCGUCACUACAAGCAGAUAAUGUAUCUUUUUCCUCUAAAUGUUUUUUCCUUAUCUUUGGGAAAGAAGGUAACGUUUGAAAGUUCGUUGGAUGAUACAUACUUUUUCCUGGAUUCAUAUAUAAAUAGGGUAAUAUUAUCCAAAAACUUCACACUAACUAACCAACAAAAAAGAAAACGUUUUCACAAGCUUCACCUGAAGAAAAAAGUCAUUGUUUAAUUUGAUGAUGGGUUGUCAAACUCUUUUGUAAAUGCAUAUAAAGUGAGGAAAAGGGAUGUAUUGUCUCUACUAGGAUGACUAGGGGUGCUAUAUAUGAUUUAUAAUGGAUUGAUGAUUGACUAACAAUUUGAUUUAUUGAAGCUUCUGACAUCUUCAUUUGACCAAUAAUUGCUUUCAUAUUUUUCCUUCGGUGAUGUUGGUUAUAACUUAUCCUGGUAAUAUGUUAUGAGUGUUAUUUCAUUGGGAUAAAGAUAUAUAUAUUUGAUUUAGAGUGAAUAGAAUUAUUUCUGACAUCUUAGUUUUAUAGAAAACUCCUUUUAUAUUUUUGUUUAGGUAAAAUUAGUUGUAUUUGGUCUUUUGAUAAGUGAUAUGCUUUACAGAAUCCAUACGGACUUUCUCUCAUACACUGCUCCAAUUCUUAUGGUAUACAACCUCUAAUUUGGAGUCCAGAUCAUAUUUUUCCAGUUAGAAAACGAACUGGUAAAGAUUCAUAUCAUUUGCCGUAUAAAAGGUGAUGUCGUGUUGGAAUGUAUUAUCUUGCACGAUGACCGGGAAGAGAUGAUGUUUCGAACCAUGUUUAACACAUCUUUUAUUAGGUCAAAAUAUUCAGAUACUUAACCGUGAUAAAAUUGACACACUGUGGGAUGCUAAUGAUCAAUUUCCAGAAGACUUCAAAGAAAAGGGAUGCAUGUUGCUAAAUCCGUAGCCCCAUUUGAUUUAUCCUAUUUUAAGGAGAAGGAUGGCCAUCCAUUGGAUGCAUUUGCUAAAACUCAGGAAAUACUUAAUACCGUGAAUUAGCUAAAUCAAAAGGGUGAUGCUGCUGGAUAUAUGCUCCACCAACCAGCUGCGACAAAUUUUAUCCUGGAAAUAUUAGAAUCUUCGCCCGAGACUACAGGUACUGGCAUGCCACACUAGCAUGCUUAUGAUCAAUCAGCUUCUAAGAAGCCUCAAGAGGCAAAAAUUUGCAGUAUCGGAAAUAAUGCCAAGGGAUUGAGUCAAUCUAUCAUCCACCAAACGGGCCUCUGCAGCAUACCACAUCAACAUACCCGACAGGUGAUACCCGACAUAUCCAGUGAAUGCAGAGAAAUCUAGCAGUUACACCAGUUAAAAGUCUGAAAUUGGCCAUGGUAAUAGUUAUGGAGCUAUUAUCCAUAAACCAUGUAUAUAUAUAUUAUUUUAAAAAAUAAUUAUCUUGCUUUGGUCAUGUGAAAUGUAUGUAUGGUCUUAUAUGCAUUAGGUUUGAGAAUAAUUGAAGCAAGAUGCAUUUUUACUGCCGGAGCCUAGAUGUUAAUCUAAAUUUCAUGUUGGGGCGGCAACACCUUACUAGUAUAUAUUAUAAAGCGUAGCUGUGUUUUGUUACUUGGAUGGUACAUUAAGAAUAUUGGAAGUCUGCCUCAA